CGAUUUGCCUUUGGAAAAUAUGUCUCAACUCGAACUUUUUUUUUUUGGGGGGUCUGCAAAUGGCAGUUGAAUUUGCAUAGUGGCACUGGCGUGCAUUGAAUAAAUGGAUUUCCUUCUCUACCACCAAAAACUGUAAAUGGUUAAAUUAUGCAAAAGUCCAAAGGGGGAGAGGGAGAUGGAGAUGGAGAGGGAGAGGGCAGGCUUCUGGCUUUGAUUUCGAGUGUGUUUCGGGUUCGAAACUGAUAGACAGAAAAUCGGCUUUGCCUUGGAAUUGGCGAUGGUUUAUCUCUAAUGGCAUUACGAAGGAUUCUCCAAGGAGAAGGCAACAGAACAGCCUUGGCACCGAGAGGAGCAGCGAUGGGAAUACGACGGGUAUUCCUCCAGGCUCAGAUGUCGUCAGCAGCACAUCGUCAAACACUUCUUGGCCCCCUCCCAGCCCCAUCAGCCCCCUGGCAUUAACGAGUUUACUUUAUGCGGGCCCAAAACAAAAUGUGGGCUAAUAAAAUUGUCAAUAAUGUGGC